UACAGAGGGUGCAAGCGUUAAUCGGAAUUACUGGGCGUAAAGCGUGCGUAGGUGGUUUACUAAGUCAGGUGUGAAAUCCCCGGGCUCAACCUGGGAACUGCGCUUGAUACUGGUAGGCUAGAGUUUGGUAGAGGGAAGUGGAAUUCCGCAUGUAGCGGUGAAAUGCGUAGAUAUGCGGAGGAACACCAGUGGCGAAGGCGGCUUCCUGGACUAAAACUGACACUGAGGCACGAAAGCGUGGGUAGCAAACAGG
rnacentral:rRNA from 1 species